CAGUAGCCGCGGUAACACGAAGGGGGCUAGCGUUGUUCGGAUUUACUGGGCGUAAAGCGCACGUAGGCGGACUUUUAAGUCAGGGGUGAAAUCCCGGGGCUCAACCCCGGAACUGCCUUUGAUACUGGAAGUCUUGAGUAUGGUAGAGGUGAGUGGAAUUCCGAGUGUAGAGGUGAAAUUCGUAGAUAUUCGGAGGAACACCAGUGGCGAAGGCGGCUCACUGGACCAUUACUGACGCUGAGGUGCGAAAGCGUGGGGAGCAAACAGGAUUAGAUACCCCGGUAGUCCUGUCUCUUAUACA
rnacentral:rRNA from 1 species